GAUGAAGAACGUAGCGAAAUGCGAUAAGUAAUGUGAAUUGCAGAAUUCAGUGAAUCAUCGAAUCUUUGAACGCACAUUGCGCCCUUUGGUAUUCCUUAGGGCAUGCCUGUUCGAGCGUCAUUUGAAACCUCAAGCUCAGCUUGGUGUUGGGUGUCUGUCCCCGCCUCCGCGGGGACUCGCCUCAAAAUCAUUGGCGGCCGGUACGUUGGCUUCGAGCGCAGCAGAAACGCGAACUCGAGGCCCGGCGGAUCGGCGACCAGAAGUCUCUUCUUCACAGUUUGACCUCGGAUCAGGUAGGGAUACCCGCUGAACUUAAGCAUAUCAAUAAGCGGAGGA
rnacentral:misc_RNA from 1 species